AGUGAACGCUGGCGGUAGGCCUAACACAUGCAAGUCGAACGGCAGCACAGUAAGAGCUUGCUCUUACGGGUGGCGAGUGGCGGACGGGUGAGGAAUACAGCGGAAUCUACUUUUUCGUGGGGGAUAACGUAGGGAAACUUACGCUAAUACCGCAUACGACCUACGGGUGAAAGCAGGGGAUCUUCGGACCUUGCGCGAUUGAAUGAGCCGAUGUCGGAUUAGCUAGUUGGCGGGGUAAAGGCCCACCAAGGCGACGAUCCGUAGCUGGUCUGAGAGGAUGAUCAGCCACACUGGAACUGGGACACGGUCCAGACUCCUACGGGAGGCAGCGGAGGGGAAUAUUGGACAAUGGGCGCAAGCCUGAUCCAGCCAUACCGCGUGGGUGAAGAAGGCCUUCGGGUUGUAAAGCCCUUUUGUUGGGAAAGAAAAGCAGCAGGUUAAUACCCCGCUGUUCUGACGGUACCCAAAGAAUAAGCACCGGCUAACUUCGUG
rnacentral:rRNA from 1 species